GAAAGCUCUAAGGGUCAGAUUGCUCACAGCUGAUGCUGGCAAGCAUCUACCCACAUAAAUACUGCGGUGACUUCAGUAGAAUUACUGGUGUGAGCAAGGGCUCAUGUGUUACAACAGGGUUACACUGUCUGUCCCUGAAACAAGCAAAAUGAUAUUCUGCACCUUUUCAGCAUCUUUUAUCUCAGGUUCUCAGACUCAGGCACUUACAGCACUCCUAUUAUUAUCAACCACUUGGCACCUGGAAAUAAAACCACAGCUGAUACCUCUUCUCUGCAUUUACUGUGAGCAGCCUGUUACUAAAUUGUGAGAGUGUGAGCCUGGGAGAAAACUUGCAGAUACCAAGCAUCUGGAACUGAAAUAUGCCGUUUUGCAGCAAAUACUUACAAACCAGAAAACUGAGUCACGGGAGAGUGAAAAAUCUGCUAAGGCCAAACAAUGAGUCAAAGAAAGGGUCAGAAAAAGUUUCAGGUGUUGUGAGUAUAUAAUCCUUGAAAUAGUAACAGACAGUACUUUGUUGUGAUAAUGAUGGCGACUUAUUACAGAGGCAGAAGUUGGCAUUUCAGUUUGCAGGCUUGAAUUCAGCUCUUUCUGAAGACAAUUAAACACUAUGAGAAAUGCACAGCACUCCCUUUUUUGGUGUCAAAUGAAGUGGCUUCAACUUUGACAUCACUUUGAUAUUUUUAUGGUUCCUUCAAACCCAGAAGAUGUUGGAGGGCUGACACACUCUCAAAGAUCAGAACCACAGGCAGAUCUUCCACAGGUCCUUGUGAGGAGGUACUGCAGACUUGACUGCAGUGCUGCUGUUCCCAAUUUUAAAUACACCUCUCCUCCACGCACUCUUUCUAGGCAAGUAUUUUUCAAAUUCCUGCUGGAGUGCUGUCAAAUGAUUAAAAAUGUCAUGGAGUUGUUUCAGAAUUGUAUGAUGUUGCCAGAGGAAUGGCUGCAUGAUAAGGCAGUAACUUCCUUCAUAUUAAAGUAAAAAUUAUCAAGAAUCACUGGAUAAUUUCAGUAAUUCCCUGAAAUUUGAGAGAUCGUGCCCUGCAUAUAAAGACAAUCAGCAGAGUCAGGCUGCUCAUAUAUCUGCAUGAUGGGAACUGGUCACAAAAGGGAUCCUGUGAAGGACUCCGGUCAUACUCAUACAUCCAGCCAAAUACUUCCCCUGCACCAGAGCAAUCCAAAAACAGAAACACUGGAUAGUCUCUGGCUUUACUUACUGAUGCAAUAGAGAUGCUGUGCGGACAGGACGAAAGGAAACUAGACAGAGAGGGUACAAGAUAUAAACACCCAUGAAACCAUGGAAAGAAUAAAUCCAACUGAGCAAAUGGUUAGGAAAAAAAAAAAAAAGGAAACUCUUGGAGACGGGCAAAGAGAAGAUGAUUUGCAAUGCUGGAGAAAAGACAAGAGACUAGGCUGGUGAAGGACAGUCAAGCUGAAGAAAGAGAAGGAAGGAAGCAUCAGGAGACAGGCAAAGACGGGAAAUAAGAAAAGAAAGGGGGAAGACAAAUCCCUGCUACUCAGAGUGACUCCGUGACUCCUCAGUGAAGGCAACUGCUUUUUCAGUGCGUGAUAGACUUAAUUUGCCAUGAAUGAUAGAUUGGAGAAGAACUUCACUUUUCAAUACAUACUGUGAAAUGUUCCCUGCUCAGCCGUUCCUGUAGAGUGGGGAAAAUGGCAGGAAAUCAUUGUGAACAACAGAGAGUGUUAUUUUGAGGGAGACAUAAUGGCUUGUUUGGUUUGACAUCCAAAACAGAUAUAACUGCGACAAAAGCAUUUAAAUGCUAAUCUGUCAUUUACAGCGGGUAAACAAAAACUAACACGCAUAAAAUCUGUGGUACUUGUGAGCGAGAGCUCUAGAAGCCUGAAAUGGUGCUUAAUUUAGAGAAGACAGAUAUCUCUUUGCAGACAGAAUUUAUACCUGAAAUGUAUUAAUGUCAAGAAUAAAAUUUAGGUACUCAGACUUCUAUUUCCUGAUGGCAAAUUUGGAUCAUA